rnacentral:rRNA from 1 species
ACUCAAAUGAAUAGACGGGGGCCCGCACAAGCGGUGGAGCAUGUGGUUUAAUACGUCACUAACCGUAGAACCUUACCAGGGUUUGACAUCUGCCGGCAGUCUAUGAAAGUAGAUUUUCUCCCACAAGGAGACGGCAAGACAGGUGUUGCAUGGCUGUCGUCAGCUCGUGUCGUGAGAUGUUGGGUUAAGUCCCGCAACGAGCGCAACCCUCAUCCGAUGUUGCCAGCGUAAAGUCGGGAACUCUUCGGAAACUGCCCGUGUAAGCGGGAGGAAGGUGGGGAUGACGUCAAGUCAGCAUGGCCCUUACAUCCUGGGCUACACACAUGCUACAAUGGCAGUUCACAGAGGGAUGCAAUACCGCGAGGUGGAGCAAAUCCCAGAAAUACUGUCUCAGUUCGGAUUGUAGUCUGCAACUCGACUACAUGAAGUCGGAAUCGCUAGUAACCGCAGGUCAGCUAAACUGCGGUGAAUACGUUCCCGGGCCUUGUACACACCGCCCGU